CAGCCGCCGCGGUAAUACGAAGGGGGCUAGCGUUGUUCGGAAUUACUGGGCGUAAAGCGCACGUAGGCGGAUAUUUAAGUCAGGGGUGAAAUCCCGCAGCUCAACUGCGGAACUGCCUUUGAUACUGGGUAUCUUGAGUAUGGAAGAGGUUAGUGGAAUUGCGAGUGUAGAGGUGAAAUUCGUAGAUAUUCGCAGGAACACCAGUGGCGAAGGCGGCUAACUGGUCCAUAACUGACGCUGAGGUGCGAAAGCGUGGGGAGCAAACAGGAUUAGAUACCACGGUAGUCCCUGUCUCUUAUAC
rnacentral:rRNA from 1 species